rnacentral:pre_miRNA from 1 species
AGUGGAAUUGAUGGAUCACAUAGUAAUUCUGUUUGAGUAUAUGUCAAACUAUUUUUCAUGCAACUUGCACUAUUUUUCAUUCCCACUAGUAAU